UACGAAGGGGGCUAGCGUUGUUCGGAAUUACUGGGCGUAAAGCGCGUGUAGGCGGGUCUUUAAGUCAGGGGUGAAAUGCCAAGGCUCAACCUUGGAACUGCCUUUGAUACUGGAGACCUUGAGUCCGGGAGAGGUGAGUGGAAUUGCGAGUGUAGAGGUGAAAUUCGUAGAUAUUCGCAAGAACACCGGUGGCGAAGGCGGCCUUCUGGACAGUGACUGACGCUGAGACGCGAAAGCGUGGGGAGCAAACAGG
rnacentral:rRNA from 1 species